GGAAGAGCCAGGAAGCUCCAUGAGAGCUCAAGAACCCUAAUCAAGAAAUCAUCAAAUUGAAAGGAUGGAUAGCAUGUCUACGGGCUCAAGUAUGGAGGCUAACGGGUCAAAAGGAAGCAUGGAACCUAUGCUUGAACAUGGACGCUCAAGGUUGUACGAAGAACAGAUUACCAUCAUGAGGUGUAGCGAUCAAAGACCGAGUCACAAGAUAGAUUGUACAGGGAUCCUUGAUUAUGUAAAAUGAUAGUUAUAAGCUAUGCUUUUAUUUUGUAAAUGUGUACAAAAGAUACCUAUAUUGUAAGAAGGUAUUUUAUAAUGAACUUGCAAGUAGGUCAAAAAUGUUUUUAACGAAAGAAAUUUUAUGGUAAAAA